rnacentral:lncRNA from 1 species
CUGAAAAUAGCCGAAAAGGUGAGCACCGUAUCAGGGAUCAGUAGAAACGUUGAAAACGUCAAGAAAAUAAUUACCACACUGACAAGUGACGUUAAGAAAAAAGCAAUGUUCAUUUGUAAAGACCGGAGAAUUACCGGUGGUGGCAACUCUUCUGCUACCCCCCUGACACCGGCGGAGGACCGGAUUGUGGGACUCCUCAGCAAGGCUGACUACGAGGGUAAGGCCAGUUUAUAGACCUCCGUAAAGUGCUGUUGGUAGACACGGAGAGCCUGUCGGAGAUCCUUUUUUUUUUUUUCGGAAUCACUUCUCCCGUUUGACUCAUGGUUUGUAGUCAACAUAUAAGAUUGAUCGGACGGCGAAUUGCAUUGCGUAUCCGACAUCCCGACGGAGAACUUCGAAGAGUGAAGCUUAGGUCUAUCUUAUAAUGUUUGACGUUCUCGUUCUCCCUGCUAGUGAUUAUUUUUCUUGACUUUAUAUUAUAGCUGCUAUGAUAUGAUAUAUGAAAAGAAAGACUGUCAAUGCAGGCAUCGAUGGAGGCUUUGAGACUGGGUUGCCAGUGGACUUCUUGGAGACCACAACUUCAGUCAGUGAAGUUGUUGACGUCGAUGCUACACAACCGCCUCCUGAAAAGAAAACACGUCCGCUGAAGUCAUCACCAGAAACCCUUGCUCUGCUAGAAAUUGAGAGGGAGAAGCUUCAAUUAUACAGAGAGAGAGUCGCCAUUGAAAGAGAGCGACUCCUCCUUGUGAGGGAAAAAUUUGAAUGGGAGAAGAGUAGGGCCAGAGUGUGCAAAACAUGUUUAACUGAAAUAUAAAUGAAUGAAUUGUAAUCUUGACCAAUUGUAAUCUUGACCAUUGUGUUGCUUCUAUUUUUAAUUUAGGUUAAAAAAAAUCUAAUAUAAGUCGAU